UGGCGAACGGGUGAGUAACACGUGGGUGAUCUGCCCUGCACUCUGGGAUAAGCCUGGGAAACUGGGUCUAAUACAGGAUAGGACCAUGCUUUAGUGUGUGUGGUGGAAAGUUUUUUCGGUGUAGGAUGAGCCCGCGGCCUAUCAGCUUGUUGGUGGGGUAAUGGCCUACCAAGGCGGCGACGGGUAGCCGGACUGAGAGGUUGGUCGGCCACAUUGGGACUGAGAUACGGCCCAG
rnacentral:rRNA from 1 species